UCUUGAACCAUACCACCCUGAACGCGCCCGAUCUCGUCUGAUCUCGGAAGCUAAGCAGGGUCGGGCCUGGUUAGUACUUGGAUGGGAGAACCAUAUCAAUCAUAUUAUGAAUAUACAGAUAUUUACAAAAU
rnacentral:rRNA from 1 species